ACACGACCGUACCGCAAACCGACACUGGUGCGCGAGAUGAGUAUUCUAAGGCGCUUGAGAGAACUCAGGAGAAGGAACUCGGCAAAUUGACACCGUAACUUCGGAAGAAGGUGUGCCUUUAGUAGGUGAAGUCCCUCGCGGAUGGAGCCCAAUGAGGUUGCAAAAAAUCGGUGGCUGCGACUGUUUAUUAAAAACACAGCACUCUGCAAACACGAAAGUGGACGUAUAGGGUGUGACGCCUGCCCGGUGCUGGAAGAUUAAAUGAUGGGGUGCAAGCUCUUGAUUGAAGUCCCAGUAAACGGCGGCCGUAACGAUAACGGUCCUAAGGUAGCGAAAUUCCUUGUCGGGUAAGUUCCGACCUGCACGAAUGGCGUAACGACGCCACACUGUCUCCUCCUGAGACUCAGCGAAGUUGAAAUGUUUGUGAUGAUGCAAUCUCCCCGCGGAAAGACGGAAAGACCCCAUGAACCUUUACUGUAGCUUUGUAUUGGACUUUGAACAGAUCUGUGUAGGAUAGGUGGGAGGCUUUGAAGCAGGGUCGCUAGAUCUUGUGGAGCCAACGUUGAAAUACCACCCUGGUGUGUUUGAGGUUCUAACCUAGGCCCGUAAUCCGGGUUGGGGACAGUGCAUGGUAGGCAGUUUGACUGGGGCGGUCUCCUCCCAAAGUGUAACGGAGGAGUUCGAAGGUACGCUAGUUACGGUCGGACAUCGUGACGAUAGUGCAAUGGCAUAAGCGUGCUUAACUGCGAGACUGACAAGUCGAGCAGAUGCGAAAGCAGGACAUAGUGAUCCGGUGGUUCUGUAUGGAAGGGCCAUCGCUCAACGGAUAAAAGGUACUCUGGGGAUAACAGGCUGAUACCGCCCAAGAGUUCAUAUCGACGGCGGUGUUUGGCACCUCGAUGUCGGCUCAUCUCAUCCUGGGGCUGUAGCCGGUCCCAAGGGUAUGGCUGUUCGCCAUUUAAAGAGGUAUGUGAGCUGGGUUUAAAACGUCGUGAGACAGUUUGGUCCCUAUCUUCCGUGGGCGCUGCAGAUUUGAGGAAGCCUGCUCCUAGUACGAGAGGACCGGAGUGGACGCACCUCUGGUGUAUCGGUUGUCGCGCCAGUGGCAUUGCCGAGUAGCUAUGUGCGGAAGAGAUAACCGCUGAAAGCAUCUAAGCGGGAAACUCGUUUCAAGAUGAGAUCUGCCGGGGCCUUGAGCCCCCUGAAGAGUCGUUCAAGACCAGGACGUUGAUAGGUCGGGUGUGGAAGCGCAGUAAUGCGUUAAGCUAACCGAUACUAAUUGCUCGUGCGGCUUGAUC
rnacentral:rRNA from 1 species